AUCUAACUAAUUGGUUGGGAAGCUUUUAUGAAUACUCAAGUAAUGGCAAGGCCGGUCUGUGAUUGCCAAAUCUCGAGGCGAAGUUCAUAAAUUAGACCCUCCAAAAUUAACGUAAAUACAAAAUUCGACGAUAUAUUAUAGCAAAACCAACAAGUUGAUCAUAACACUUUUAACUGUCGUAUCCUGUGAGUCCUGUUAAGACACUUCUCAACAGCUAUAUGUAAGAAUAUAACUGCAUUUCCUUUUCUCAAAAAAUAUUCCAUAAGAACAUCAACACAUUUUCUUUUGUGCUCCAAGUACCAACAACUUUUAUUCAAGAAAAUAGCUUUAAAAGUCAGAAAUUUUAAAUUCUCGCCACAUUCAAUAAGUUGUUCAAUAAUCAAAUCGAUUAAAAUCUUUAUAUCAAGUCUGUGUAGUAAGCAAAUUCUUCUAACAAAUUAAGAACAUUCAUAACCUCUAAAUCCCCACAAAUCUAGUAAUUUUUUCAAUAGUAGACAAAAAAAGACAAACUUUCAAACAAAUAAAAAGCAACGAGAAAAUACCAACAAUAGUGCAAGAAUAAUUGUAAAAUAUGGCACACAAAUGAUUUAAUACGAAAAUUUGAACAGCCUUGCUUUGGCAAAAAAAACCCAUCUGCAACAAAUUCAAAAACUCCUCUCUAAGCUCCAAAGUCUCAUAGAGAUCGGGACUAUUUAUAAACUUAUUAAACAUUUUGCUAGGAGAUGAAGAACUUAAUUUUCAAUUUCUUUAAAGUUUAGUGCUAUGCUCAAGGAUUUUAUUAAACAUGACUAGGGUUUAUUCUUUUCUUAGAUAUGACAGAUUAUUCGACAAAAUAUUGAGAAUAUUUUGUCUAAUUUCCCCUAUAUUCAUCAGAAUAAUAUUUUGUCUAAUUUCCCCUAUAUUCAUCAGAAUCAACAAGCUUUUGCAGUCUUAAUAUCUAAUUUCCAAUGCAUCAUAAACUACAUACAAAUUUGAGUAAAGAAAAAAAUCUAACCUUGUUAGCCACCGCCUGUGGAUUGUGACGGAGAAGAAAGAAGAUGAGAAGACAGCCACUAAAGAGAAGGAAGAAGAGAA
rnacentral:lncRNA from 1 species